GAGGAUAUAGCUCAGUGGUAGAGCGUGUGCUUAGCAUGCACCAGGUCCUGGGUUUAAUCCCCAGUACCUCCA
rnacentral:tRNA from 1 species